UCGCUUACAUGACGUCGAGACUCUACCGUGAUCAAGGUGGUAUCUCCAAGGUGUAACUCUUUCAUUGCACCCCGGAUGAUCUGAUGAUCCUUGCAAAUAUUCUUCAUGUGGAUAUUGGAUGCAUAAUUUAUGUUAGUCAGGAUUUGCGCGCUAUCCCGG